UAAAGUAGUUUUUUAUUUGACAAAAUGAGACACUCUCUGAAGAACAAGGUCUGUUCAACCCAAUGUUACAUGACAUUUUAUAUGCUAAAGAUCAAAGGAGAAUUCUAUAUUUACAAUGUUUCCUUUGAAUUACAUAUAAUAUUCACAACUCCUUCUUGGCACCCACACUCCAGAUACCCAAAAUGAAUGUUAAUCUGCAUUGUCUGGUUCAAUCAACUACUAUUCACAACUCUAAGAACCUAUUGUCCAGACCUGCAUUUAAUAUUUAAUCUGCAGUCCACAUUCGGGUCUAAAGAUUGGUUGCUGAAGUUAAUUUAACAUUUUGCUAUUCGUCCUAAAUCCAGAAUAUGCCCCAACACUAGUCUUUUAUACCUCAAACAGCAGACAUGACUUCUGGAGGGAAUACCACAAUUGUCAGCCUGUGGUUUUUGACUGACAACAUCCAACAUAAGGCUGUAUGCCUUCAGCAGUUGCACCAAUGCCUAUGAAAUAAUGGCCACAACUUGCUGGCCAAAUCAUAAGAACACACUCCUGCAGAUUCAACUUGCUGUCCUCUUUCAAACUGUCCAUUUUGAUUCCUCGCCCCAACUUUCUCAGGUGAGUGCUUGAAUUGCCUGGAUAUAGAAGGUUAUGGCCCAAGUACUGAAAGAUGCAAUUAAUAUGGAUGGGUGCUCACUGCCCAGUUGAAUAUGGUGGGAUAAAUGGCCUGCUUCCCUGCUUAUGGCUCUAUGACACAUUUGCAUCAUCUCCCUUCUACUAAAGCAUUAAAAUAUAUUUAGUACCUAAUAUACUCCCUGUACCCAAUAAAGUGGCCAAAAGUGUAUGCUCCUGGUCUUCUGCUCUUGUAGCCCACGUACUUUAAGGUUUAACGUGCUGUGCAUUCAGAGAUGCUAUUCUGAACAGUACUGUUGUAACCUGUGAUUAUGAGAGCUACUGUCACCUUCCUGUCAGCUUUAAACAGUCUGGUCAUUCUCCUCUCACCACUCUCAUUUGUUCACAGAACUGCUACUCACUGGAUUUUUGUUUUUUGCUUUUGCACCACGCUCUGUGACUGUUGUAUGUGAAAAUCCCAGGAGAUCAGCAGUUUCUGAAAUAUUCAAACCACCCCAUCUGGCACCAACAAUCGUUCCACAGACAAAGUCACUUAGAUUACAUUUCUUCCCCAUUCUGAAGUUUCGUCUGAACCAGCUGAACCUCUUGAACAUGCCUACAUGCUUUUAUGCAUUGAGUUGCGGUCACAUAAUUGGCUGAUUAGAUAUUUGCAUUAAUGAGCAGGUGUACAUAUAUGGUGACCAUUGAGUGUAGGCUAUAAGCAGAAACCCUAGCAUUGUUCCUUGUAAUAAUCCCUGCGAUCAUCACGGUGCAAAUUCAUGAAACUCCCUCCCCAACAGAACUUCCUCACAAGAAGGAAUGCAAUUGAUCAAGGAGCUGUUGGUAAAUGGCCAAUGUUACUGGCAUUGUCAGAAACACCCGCAUUUCAUGAAUGAAUUUUUUAAAAAGGUAACUUGCUCUGAAUUACAGCUCAAAAGAUGAUGAUUAACAGUUCAAAAUAGUGAAAAGAGAAAUAGGGAGCACAAAAGCAUCCAUUGUUCUCCCACAACCAGAAUAAGAAUGCACUUAAUAAUUAAUGCAUGAAGUGACAUCUUCUGUAAUAUUUGCUCCAACUCUUCUAGCUUCCCUUGCAGACAUUCAUUUUAUUGCGACUGUGGUAUUGCUGGCACUAUCUAAGGCGGAGAUGGAGAAAGAAGUGGGCAUCAAUUAUUUACAAAGGGUUCUUUUGAAGACCCUGACCUGGAGUUACACGGUGACUCUGGUUCUUUGCGGGAAUGGAACCUACUCUCGGUGUCUCACGACCGGGCGCUAUUUGAUAUACCAAGAAUGUGGCCUAGAAGACCAGUUUGCCGUCAGUGUUUUGGGAUUUCGUGGCUCGAAAUCGGUGGGUCCACAGAAAAUUGGUGCGUCGUGGGAGAUGGAAGAUCAAAAGCAGCAAGCUGGCUGCUGGCUGUGUGCCCAGAGUUCUUUGGGCAUGGAGCUUGGAAAACGUGACGCAAAAGACUUUUAACAUCGAUAUGAAGGGAGAAGACACCAGAGAGAAGAAGUCAUAGGACUCGAACCGGAGAGGGGCCAUGAUCCGACGAAGGCCAGGGAGAUCGAAGAAGGAUCGUCAAAGGGAAAACUUGUG